AUCUAUGGCCAUACCACCCUAAACGCGCCCGAUCUAGUCUGAUCUUGGAAGCUAAGCAGGGUCGGGCCUGGUUAGUACUUGGAUGGGAGACCACCUGGGAAUACUGGGUGCUGUAGGCU
ensembl:rRNA 5S_rRNA 5S ribosomal RNA